UCCGGUUUGUCACCGGCAGUCUCAUUAAAGUGCCCAACCUAAUGAUGGCAAUUAAUGACAAGGGUUGCGCUCGUUGCGGGACUUAACCCAACAUCUCACGACACGAGCUGACGACAGCCAUGCAGCACCUGUGUAUCCGCUCUCUUGCGAGCACCCCAACAUCUCUGUUAGGUUCGGACCAUGUCAAGGGUAGGUAAGGUUUUUCGCGUUGCAUCGAAUUAAUCCACAUCAUCCACCGCUUGUGCGGGUCCCCGUCAAUUCCUUUGAGUUUUAAUCUUGCGACCGUACUCCCCAGGCGGUCAACUUCACGCGUUAGCUGCGUUACCAAGUCUAUUAAGACCCGACAACUAGUUGACAUCGUUUAGGGCGUGGACUAC
rnacentral:misc_RNA from 1 species